UACAGAGGGUGCGAGCGUUGUUCGGAAUUAUUGGGCGUAAAGGGCGCGUAGGCGGUGCCACAAGUCACUUGUGAAAUCCCCGGGCUUAACUCGGGGCCUGCAGGCGAAACUGUGGUGCUGGAGUAUGGGAGAGGUGCGUGGAAUUCCCGGUGUAGCGGUGAAAUACGUAGAUAUCGGGAGGAACACCUGUGGCGAAAGCGGCUCACUGGACCACAACUGACGCUGAGGCGCGAAAGCUAGGGGAGCAAACAGG
rnacentral:rRNA from 1 species